GCGCUCGAUUCGGCAGCACAUAUACUAAAAUUGGAGAUUAGCAUGGUCCUUGCAUAAGGAUGACACGCAAAUUCAUGAAAUGUUCCAUAUUUUU
rnacentral:snRNA from 1 species